GGAUUAAGUUAAUCAAGAUAAAGCUUCUAACUUUUUUCUUAAGCAGUGAAAUUCUGUUUUUAAUCCU
rnacentral:tRNA from 1 species